rnacentral:lncRNA from 1 species
GAAAAACACCAGCAUCUGGUGAGUGGUGUUUAUUCUGAGGUUACUCUUUCUAAAAAUAGUUUUCUGAAAACUCGCCCUGGUCGGCUGGGAAGCACACAGGCGGAGUGGCGAGCCAGUGAAUGGGAGGCUCUCCUGCAGCGGGGGCACCUUAGAGGCUGGUUGUGUGGGCCAAGAAUGCACUCGAAGAGCAGGAACAGAGUUUGCAAGGGGGGCUGCCGGUGUCCACGGGAACCGUGGCAGGCCAGACACACCCAUCCCUGGAGAAGCAGAAGGUCGGCUAGGAGCUAUGAACAUCCUUGCUGAGCCCCAGAAGUGAGGAGCAACAGGGGAGGAAGGAGGCUCCUAUCUUGAAGCUGUUGGGCACCUACGCAAGUGGCACAGGGAGGGGCAGGGUGUUGGCUCCGAGUGAGAGAUUUGCUUAAGCCAGAUGGUGGCCGAUGAAGGAGGCCCAGGCAACCCCUUCUGGUCUUCCAGACAGCACCACAGGUAGACCAGAAAAGAAGCCACUGAUGGAAUGCUGCAAGAAGGGGUUUACCAUGCGGUGUGAUUUCUGGGACCCCUUCUUCCCUGUUGAAAAUAUUUCACAGGCCCCCAGGACCUCCCCCAAAAGACAAGGGCAGAAACCAAAGAAAAUGCACUGUUCCAAUUUUGUCCAGGCUGCCUGUGGAAUGAGAAACCCAUGAGAAAGUUAUUGAGACUUCAGUUUUCUAUUCCUCUCCUUAUCCGGCCUCAUUACCUCCCCAACCCCUGAGAGAAAAAAUAAAUAAUUCACAAACAAAGGACGAGGGUGUGGUGGAUUGAGAGCAGGUUUGCUUGGUGACAGGAGGACUCUGUAGAGGGGGUCUGUUGGGAGGUGAGCAGGAGGGAGUGGCUGCUCCAGAGCCCACAGUUCUGUCCAGAAAGGUGGAAGUAACACAGGCAUCAUGAAGGCUUCUGGAGGCAGGGGCUGAGCCCUCUCACCGCAAGGACCACAGAAGCCAGGGCUGGACUCCUGGCCCGGGAAGCUCCAGUCCCAUGGACUCUAUCCCACUCCUUUGUCUCUUUCUCCCUCCUGUGCCUGCCCCGCCUGCCCCUUGCUCUGUCUUCAUCCUGGGAAGCCAGCUGCAGCAUGUAGGAGAGAAGGGCUCUGUCACGGCUGUCUCUAGUGUGUUAUUGUUAGUGUUACAUUACAAAUCCCGUUUCCAUGCCAGGGUCCCUCGGGGGUCAUAACCAGGAGAGGCCAUGACCCUGUCAAUAAACAGAACCCCA